GGCUCCGUAGCUCAACGGCAGAGCAGUUGCCUCUUAAGCAAUUGGUUACAGGUUCGAAUCCUGUCGGAGUCA
rnacentral:tRNA from 1 species